AAGAUUUUAAGUUAAAAUAAAACUUUUAACCUUCAAAGUUUAAUAUAUAAAUUUUUUUUAUAAAUCUUA
rnacentral:tRNA from 1 species